AUGUUAGUGGCGAACGGGUGAGUAACACGUGAGUAACCUGCCCUCCACUUUGGGAUAACUCCGAGAAAUCGGGGCUAAUACUGGAUAUGACUAUGGCCCGCAUGGGUUGUGGUGGAAAGUUUUUCGGUGGGGGAUGGGCUCGCGGCCUAUCAGUUUGUUGGUGAGGUAGUGGCUCACCAAGGCGAUGACGGGUAGCCGGCCUGAGAGGGCGACCGGCCACACUGGGACUGAGACACGGCCCAG
rnacentral:rRNA from 1 species